rnacentral:rRNA from 1 species
AUACUGAGUGGCAGACGGGUGAGUAUAAUGUGGGUAUCUGCCUUUUGGUUUGGAAUAACUUGGGGAAACCUGAGCUAAUACCGAAUAAGCCCUUACGGGGAAAGCUUUAUGCGCCAAAAGAUGAGCCCGCACUUGAUUAGCUUGUUGGUGAGGUAAAGGCUCACCAAGGCAACGAUCAAUAGCUGUUCUUAGAGGAAGACCAGCCACAUUGGGACUGAGACACGGCCCAGACUCCUACGGGAGGCAGCAGUAGGGAAUCUUGCACAAUGGGGGAAACCCUGAUGCAGCGAUGCCGCGUGAGUGAAGAAGGCCCUUGGGUUGUAAAACUCUUUCGUCGGGGAAGAAAAUGACUGUACCCGAAUAAGAAGGUCCGGCUAACUUCGUGCCAGCAGCCGCGGUAAUACGAAGGGAUCUAGCGUAGUUCGGAAUUACUGGGCUUAAAGAGCUCGUAGGUGGUUAAAAAAGUUGAUGGUGAAAUCCCAAGGCUUAACCUUGGAACUGCCAUCAAAACUUUUCAGCUGGAGUAUGAUAGAGGAAAGUGGAAUUUCUAGUGUAGAGGUGAAAUUCGUAGAUAUUAGAAAGAACACCAAAUGCGAAGGCAACUUUCUGGAUCAUUACUGACACUAAGGAGCGAAAGCAUGGGUAGCGAAGAGGAUUAGAUACCCUCGUAGUCCAUGCUGUAAACGAUGUGUGCUAGACGUUGGAAACAUAGUUUUCAGUGUCGCAGCGAAAGCAUAAGCACCCCGC